GUGUAUUAACUGAAAGAUGAAACAAGUAACCUUUUUCUCCUUAUCCGUUUCCUAAUCGUUUGGUCUACCACCUUGGCUAUUUCACUAGCCCUGCACGAGCUCCAAAAGUCCCAAAGAGCCAAAACUCCCCAUACUCCAUAAGCUGCAGGAUCAUCACGAAAAUCAUUAAUCCCCACAUUACCUCAGUCUCUAGACUCUCCUGACUUUGUCUCUAACGCCACUUGCAAAGCAUCUAAUUAGAUUAUACAAUAGUACGUAGUUAUUAGAAUUUAAAAUACAUUAAUGCAUAUGAGUUGAUUUAUAGUUACC
rnacentral:lncRNA from 1 species